AUUGAACGCUGGCGGCAGGCCUAACACAUGCAAGUCGAGCGGCAGCACUUCGGGUGGCGAGCGGCGAACGGGUGAGUAAUACAUGGGAAUCUGCCUGGUAGUGGGGGAUAACUCUGGGAAACUAGAGGUAAUACCGCAUACGCCCUACGGGGAAAGCGGGGAUCUUCGGACCUCGCGCUAUCAGAGGAGCCCAUGUCCGAUUAGCUAGUUGGUGAGGUAAAGGCUCACCAAGGCGACGAUCGGUAACUGGUCUGAGAGGAUGGUCAGUCACACUGGAACUGAGACACGGUCCAGACUCCUACGGGAGGCAGCAGUGGGGAAUAUUGGACAAUGGGGGCAACCCUGAUCCAGCCAUGCCGCGUGUGUGAAGAAGGCCUCGGUU
rnacentral:rRNA from 1 species